rnacentral:lncRNA from 1 species
CUCAAAAGGAGCACACUGAAAGGGGAGAAGGUGCAUGCAAAUCAUCCUGACCUAUGGGCAAGGAGAGGAGCAGCAGGGGAAAAUGGAGAGCUAGGGAAAGAAGGCGCUUACCAGGCCACCUCCACAGGUGCUGAAAGAAGCCAGCGAGCCAGGGUGCCGCAGCACAGCUCCGGUGUAGAAGCAGCCUGCGUCUGGUGGCGCGGGAGGUUGCGGGGCGGAUGCUGCCCCCGUGGGGCCGGGGCCGGGAUUUGGCCGCUGUUCCACUGCGAAGCGCGGCGCCAGGAAGCGGCCGUCUCUCCGGAGCAGCAGGUGCUGUAAACGUACCUUUGCAAAUAUUAUUGCUCUAAUUAGAAGGAAACUAUUCCACAUACGGUUAAAACGAGGCCGGCAGAAGUGUGCUUCAUUUCCGAACUUGACCCCUUAACCUGCACCUCAAGCUCAUUUUUAUUGCUACCCACUGAGCCCUGCUCUCCACGCACCGGUUGCACCAGCCCUGCCGACCCGUACGUUCGCGGUCUCCGCUGGGAUGGCUGGAAAGGAAGCGAGAAAGUCACGGAAGAACUUACCUGAAACGAUCCCAUUCGACAGGAACCCCAGCUGGUAAAGGAGGCAGCAGCAGCAGAUGAGUUUCCGAGGCCGAGCAGGCUAGUGCUGGAGCCCCACAAGACAGACCCACAGCCAGCCGAGAGCCGGGAGUGCUGCCUCUGGACAGGCAGAGGACUGCCCGGCGCGGGCAGGAGAGCUGUGGUGUCCGAGCCGAGGCUCGCCGCCUGCACCCGCGCGGAACGGGCGGAGGCUGGUGUCACAGUCUCAGCAACUUGGUGUGCCAAGCUCCGCACACUCCUCACGCUCCUUAGGACGCACCGCUGAAGGCUCUCACCCGCAGCGGCGCGGGAGGGAAUGAGUAGGGAGAUGGGAAGACACGACUAGAGAGGUGGGUUGUAGAGCAGAAAAGAAUCAAGCACAUCUGACCAGAAAAAGGGACCAAGGGGUGCCCGCCAAGCGUGACUUUGCGGGACAAAGGUCCCAGAACACCGUGCACGUGCUCAAACGCCGGUUGGGAUGGGGUGGGGACCCAAAAUCCCUCACCUGACUAUUGAUUGGCCACUCGGGAAGGCCUGAUUUGCAUCCAUCCCCUGCCCCCGUGUGCAGGUAGAGGUGCCUCCCCCUUCCCAUCCCACUCCUCAAUCCAGCGCCUCUUUUUGUCAAAUUCGCACAUCACACAAGGCAAAAAUUAGUGCAGACUUGACCACAAAACUGAGGCCUCAUUUAUCAAAGGCCUUUGAUUUGUCUUCCCAUCUUUUUCGGAAUUUUCUAAGCCCGGAGAUAAUGUAAUUCGUCAUGGAAUAUGCUUUAAAGUUUCCCAGGACAGUAGGCACCCUUAGGUUUCAGAGCCUCUUUUCCUUCCUUGUCUUUCUAGCUCCCCAUUCAUCAGUACUAUCAGUUUCUCUCCUUCCCCUACCCCACCCCAUUACACACACACACACACACACACACACACACACACACACACGAGUCCUAAAAGGAGUAAGAGUAAGGGAAUCAACAUUAAACAUUAUAUUCUAAAGAUCUCAGACCAGGUGAGAUUAUUUUGUCUUCUGUACUUUUUACUUGUACAUAAAAAAAUAUGUUUUUGCUGUUUCUGUCCUCUUUGGGGCAAUUCAACCCCAUAUAUUUUUUUUUCCUUUGUUGCAAUUCUCUUCAUGGUACCUACUCCCCUUUCCACAACUCUCCCUCAGCCACAUCAAAGCGUUCACAUCCGAUUUAAGGAUGAUUGAUCUGAACUGCCAUUUGCAUCCUCUGGACUAGGCCAGACACCUAGAAAUGAUAAUUAAUGCAAAUCAGUUUUUUUUUUUUUUAAUUCCAGAACUGAGGUUGGUUCACCACUUCCUUUGUUAUUUUACCUUCUGUUCCUUGUGUCAAAGGUGACUACUAUGCCUUUAAGGGAAGCAGACGAUCUUAUUUCAAAGGAAAGCCAUUGUUUGAAUUAGCUGAGUCCUAUAAUACUUUCUUUGAGUUGUCCAGAGUUUAGAAACAAAGGCAAAAACACUCAAGGUGACUUUGUCAAGAGUGAUCUGCCUCUAAACGCUGUCUUAUAAAAUCUCUAAUGCUGGAGUAACUAACAUGUGGGUUUCCAGAUGCUCAAGAAAUAUCUGGGUUACUUAGAAACCUAAAUGCUUUUUUUCAUGAGACUCAAUUUUACAGAUUUAAAGCUAGGCAAAAAAUCAGAGGCAGUUUAUUUUUUGAGUAUAGCAAGCUAUUUAGAUUGAAAGCUAAUUUCAAUGAAACACCUCCAGUAGGAGAUGAGUCUUAACACGUUUCUCACACAUAUUUUAACAACAACAACAAAAAGCAGAACUGAAGGAAUAAUGCAUAUUAAAUUGUAUAUAUUUAUUAGAGUACAUUCAUGAUUUUUUAAAACCAAAUGAGUUGUAUAACUAAGUUAAAUAUACUCAGAAGCACAGCUUACCAAUGUAAGUUUGCAUUGCUGCCUUUUUUUCCCACUAAUAUAUAAUCUUUACCAAUCCUUCAUGGUAAAGGUUAAUAUUGUUAUGGAAAGAUUUGUCUAAUUCCCAGAUAACUCUUCUCUUUUUUCCCUUUUGAAAUACUGUUAUAAUUUAUUUACAUAUUUUAGAGACAUUUAUAAGUCAUUUGGGUUUUAAUGACUUAUGUACUUAUUUCUCCUACUAGACUAUCAAUGUUUUUGAAAGGUAGGAAUGAUUUCUUUUAUAUAUCACCCUGACUAAUUCAAGGAUUUACACUGAAUAGGUUCAGAAAUUAUCAGGAAAUUCUCUCCAAGGUGCUUUAGAAAGUGAUAGAAAUUGAUUUGUCUAUGGUAUUUUGUUCCAAUUUGAAUUCCUUGAUCAGGAGUUGCAACACUAACUCUGCUGGUGAUUAGCAACUAUCAACAUGACUUAUCUGGUUUACAGAAGGAACAGGCCUAAGAGAGAAAUGUGUGGGGAAUUUUUGUGCUCUAGGAGAGACUUAGAUAUGCAAGUGAGAGCGUCCGUUAAAGUGAAUUCAAGUACCUAUGUAUAUAAAAGAAAGAACUAGCCUAAUUUGGAAUUGAGUAAACUGUGUGUGGUGAAAUAGAGAAGAAAAGGCAGGACUGAGGCAUGUGUGUGCAUUACCAACCUUAGAGGAAAGAAAAGAGCAGCUGGGAAAAAUAUGUUGGUAAGACAGAUCACUAUAUAUGUCACCAGAUGGUAGCUAGCACCAAUAGAGCACUGCUUUUGUGUUCUCAGAAUAAGGACAGAAGGAGAAGAGGUAAAUGACAAAGCAUCAGAGUAAGUGGAAUCAACUGUUUUGGUGCUGAUAUUGCCAUUUAUAAUCCAGGCUUCUCCAUAUAGAAAGUUGGCCUUGAUGCUGUCAAAUCUCCCUUAUUCUCUUCACUCACUGGUACUAAGCCCCUCACAACCUAAUCUUACCCUAGGUUAAAAUUAACCUAAGCUAAUCUUAAAUCCACCCGCCCUCCCCCAACCAAAUUCUUAAAAUCUUGAGAAAAUACAAAGAACCCUUUCACUGAGUUCCAUGAAGAUACCAACUCCCAGUAGAACUCACAUCUAAAUUGACAUCAAGUCCUAAGCUAGUUCUGGCCAUAAUGGAAUUACAGGGACCAUAGUUAACUCUCACCUUAGGAAAUUAGAAAACAUAAUAAAAGUUUUUAGACAUUGGACAACAGGCAGCCUAGGGUUAUGACUUAGGAGAGAAGAGAAGUAAAUGAAUUGAUCACUACAAUUUCCCCAGCUUACAACCUGGAGGCAGUUUCAGGACUUAACACAGAGAGAAGAAAGCCAAACAGAGCCCUGAAGACAAGCUGAGUUGAGGAGGCAGAGAAGGAGGCUAGAAUUUAUAGGGCAGAGUAUCAGAAAGGAGGGAACUACACAGAGAGUGAAUCAGUUAUCUAUUGCUACAUAACAACCUUAGCAGUUUAAAACAACAAACAAUUUAUCAUCUGACAUAGUUUCUGAGAGUCAGGAAUCGAAGCCUGGAUAAGCCCAGGUAUUUCUGAUUAAGGCUGUCUCUCAAGUUUGCAGUCAAACUCUUGGCCAGAGCUAUAAUUUCAGCAGACUUAACUGGAAGAAGAGGUUCUGCUUUCAAACUCACUUGGUUAUUGACAGGAAGCUCAGCAUCUUGCUACACAGGUUUUCCCAUAGGGGCUGCUCAUUACAUGCAUUCCCCCAGAACAAGUGAUCUGAGAGAGAGAGCACCCAAAAUAUAGCCAUGGUCUUUUUAAACCUAAUCUUGAAAGUGACAUACCACCACUUCUAUCAUAUUCUCAUCAUAAAAAACAAGUCACUAAGUCCAGCCAACAUUCAAAUGGGGAAAUAUCAAAGAAUUUGUGGACAUAUUUUUAAAACCAUCAUUGUCUGCCUUGACCAUAAAUUACUAGAGAACUUCAAAAAGUAUGUGGAAAAUGGAAGUAAAAGGCAAAAAUAAAAAAAAUAUAAACUUUAUUUCUCAACAUAAGCUCCAUCAAGUUCAAGACACUUUUGUAAGCCAUGAUACUAGCCUCUUACCCCAUCCCUGAAGAACUGAAAGCUGUGGGGUAUUUACCCAUGUCAAUGCAGUCUUUUUUACAUUAUUAACUGAAGGAAAUUGAAUGCCUUUUGAAGAUUAAGGUUAGAAAAUAAAGUCAGAAGAAGCCAAAUCAGGACUUGUAAGGUGGAUACCUAAUGAUUUCUCAUCAAAACUCUCACAAAAUUGCCCUUGUUUGAUGAGAGGACUGAGCAGGAGCAUUGUCAUUUGGAGAAGGACUCUGGUGAAGCUUUCCCAGAGAUUUUCUGCUAAAGCUUUAGCUAGCUUUCUCAAAGUACCCUUAUAAUAAGCAGAUGUUAUUAUUCUUUGGCCCUCCAGAAAGUCAACAAGCAAAAUUCCUUGAGCAUCUCAAAAACUGUUGCCAUGACCUUUGCUCUUAAUUGGUCUGCUUUUGCUUUGAAUGGACCACUUCCCCCUCUUGGUAGCCAUUGCUUUGAUUGUGCUUUGUCUUCAGGAUUUUACUGGGGAAGCCACAUUCCAUUUCCUUUUGCAAUUCAUCAAAGAAAUGCUUCAGUGUUUUGGUACCACUGAUUUAAAAUUUCCAUUGAAAGCCCUGCUAUUGUUUGUAGCUGAGCUGGGUGCAAUGGUUUUGGCAGCCAUCAGGUGGAAAGUUUGAUCAAUUUUAAUUUGUUUGGUCAGGAUAAUGUAAAUUGAACCAAUUGAGAUGUCUCUAAUAUUCGCUAUGACAAAGAGAGGAAGGGAGAAUUCUGGAUGUUUUCUGGAAGAACUUUGAAUUAAUUGUCUAUGUUCUGAUUUCUACAUGUAUGUGAAGAAACCACCUACAGCAUAGGGUGAGUGGUGGGACGGGGAGGCAUAAAGCGUUAAAGGCCAAAGAAUACUCCAAAUGUGAUGAGUUCCAACUGGCUAGAGUGGAAGGUCAUCAUAAUACAAGGGGUACUAGAUAAUGUUCUUAGAAAAGCAUCUGCUUAGUAAUAAAAUUAAAUUAGCCUUGUAAUUAAGGUUUCAUGUGGGCCUAUCUCAACAAGGCUUAAAAGAUAGCUGCAAAAUGGUUCAUCUGUUUCCUAGUAAUUUAAUUUCCUGCUAGAACAAGGUCCAUUUUACUUAAUAAUUAUUAUUAUAUAUAUAGAUAUAUACUUUUUCAUUUAGACAGGGUCUCACUUCAUUGCCCAGGCUGGAGUGCAGUGGCUCAAUCAUGGCUCACUGCAAUCUUGACCUCCUGGGCUUAAGCAGUCCCUUCACCUCAGCAUCCUGAGUAGCUGGGACUACAGGCAUACACCACCAUGCCUGAUUAAUUUUUGUAUUUUUGGUAGAGAUGGAGUUUUGCCAUGUUGCCCAGGUCGGUCUCAAACUCCUGGACUCAAGCAAUCCACCUGUCUCAGCCUCCCAAAGGGCUAGGGUACAGGCAUGCGACACCGCACUUGGCUAGGAAUAAUAAUAUUUUAAAACAACAACAACAACAAUGUAAAGUUUUCAUUCUCUGGAAAUCCAAUUAUAAAUUCCAAGCAUGGGAAAAAAAUGACUCAUAACAAGGAGAAAAGUCACUUAGUAAAAACAGAUCCAGACAUGACAGAAGUAAUAAAAUAAGCCAACAAAAACAUUAAACAGCUAUUACAGAUAUGCUGUAAAUGUAUAUGAAGAUAGAGGAAAGCAUGAACCUGAUCAAGAGUGACAUAAAAAGACCCAAUUUGAAAUUAUAGAGAUGGAAAAUACAAUAUUUUACAUGAAAAAUGUACUGGGUGGUAUUGACAGCAGAUUAGAUACUGCCAAAAAAAGUAUCUGUGAACUUGAAGACAUAGCAAAAGAAACUAACUAUCCAAAGUGAAGCACAGAAAGAAAAAGAUAAGAGUUGACUUGAGUGUUGGUGAACUGUGGGAUAAUAACGAGAUAUCUAAUAUAUAAGUACUUGGAGUUUUAGAAGAAGAGGAGAAAUGGAAAUGGGAAGAGAAACUAUUUGAAAAAAUAAUGGCUGAAAAUUUUCCAAAUUUGAUGAAAACUAUAAUGUAUACAUGCAAGCAUAACAUACUUAAUAAAACUUUGCCAAGGCAUAUCUUAAGCAAAUUGCUAAAAACAGAAAGGAAAUAGAAAAUGUGAAAAGCAGCCAGAGGAAAAAGACAGAUUAUCUAUAGAAACAAAGUUAAGAAUGACAGCAAACUUCUCCUCAAAACUUAUGCAAACAAGAAGACAUAUACAGUCAUGUACCUCAUAUAAGCAUAUUUUAGUCAACAGCAGAACACAUAUAUGACAGUGGUCCCAUAAUAUUAUAUCAUAUUUUUAAUUCACCUUUCUCUGUAGGUAUGUUUAGAUAAACAAAUACUUAGGAUUAUUUUACAAUUGCCUACAGCGUUUAGUAUAGUAAUAUGCUGUACAGGUUUAUAGCAAAGGAGAUAUAGGCUAUACCAUACAGCCUAAGUGUGUCAUAGAAUACAUCAUGUAGGUUUGUAUAAGAACACUCUAUGAUGUUUAAACAGCAAUUAAAUUACCUAAUGAUGCAUUUCUCAAAAUGUAUCCUCUGCUGGGUGCCAUGACUCAUCCCUGUAAUCCCAGCAAUUUGAGAGGCCAAGAUGGGUGGAUCACCUGAGGUCAGGAGUUCAAGACCAGCCUGGCCAACAUGGUGAAACCACGUCUCUACUAAAAAUAUAAAAAAUUAGCCAGACAUGGUGGCGGGUGCCUGUAAUUCCAGCUACUUGGGAGGUGGAGGCAGGAGAAUCGCUUGAACCUAGGAGGCAGAGCUUUCGGUGAGCUGACAUCACGCCAUUGCACUCCAGCCUGGACAACAAGAGCCAAACUUCAUUUCAAAAAAUAAAUAAAUAAAAAUGUAAUUUUUCAUCAAUAAGUGUUGCAUGACUGUAUGUAGAUAUUCUCAAUAAAAUCCUUUAACAGAUACAUAGUUUGUAAAUAUUUUGUCCUAGUUUGUAGCUUGCCCUUUAUUUACUAAAUGAUAUCUUAAAGAGCAAAAGUUUUUAAUUUUGAUGAAGUCCAAUUUAUUAAUUUGUCCUUUAUAGAAUGUCUUUCUGGUUUUCUAAGAAGUGUUUCCUAAGCCAAGAUCAAAUCCUUUUCUCCUACUUUUUUUCUAGAUCUAAAAUUUUUACUCUUAAUUUUAGGACUAUUAUCCAUUUUGACCUAAUUUUGAUAAAUGAGGUAGGAUAAGCAUCAAGGUUCAUAUUUUUGUAUAUAGAUAGCCAACAUUAUUAGUAACUAGGACAAUGCACGUUAAGUGCAAAUUGAACCCACAAGGAGACAACACUACACACCUAUUAGAGUGAAUAAAAAUUAUCUACAUUACCAAAUGUUUGCAAGGGUGUGGAACACCUGAAACUCUCAUGCAUUGUUCAUGUGAAAGCAUUAGCAUAGACACUUUGGAAAACAGUUUGACAGAUUCUUAUGAUUCUUAAAUAUACAUUUACCCAACAACUCACCAACACAAUUCCUAGAUAUUUACCCAAGAAAAAUUAAUGUAGGUAUACACAAGACUUUCAUGUGAAUUUUAUGUCAGCUUUAUUUAUAAUGGCCCCAAACUAAAAACCUAUAUGUCAAUCAACUGAUGAAUAGAUAGACAAAUUGUAGUAGAUUGCAGAACAUAAGUCAGCAAUGAAAAGAAAAGAACCAUUGAUGCAUGCAAAAAUGGAUGAAUUGCAAAAGCAUUAUUCUAAGUGAAAGAAGCUUCCCUUUAUAUGAAAGUGGAGAAAAGAUAAUACUGAAGUAAUUAAAGCAGUUCAGUCCCAGGAGCUAGGGAUGGUCUUGGGGGCAAAGAGGGAAAAGGGCUAUGAGGGAACUAUUUUAGGUGAUAAAAAUCUUCUUUAUCACAAUUAAGGUACUCAUUACACAACUGUAUAUAUUUUUCACAAAUCAUUCAAAUAGUACACUUCACAAUGGUUAAAUGUUUUGUAUAUAAAUUAUAUCUCGAUGACUCUAUUUACAGAAAGACUUAAGCUAAAUAUGUGACACUCUCAGUGUUUCAUUUUUAGCCAUUAGUGACUAAAUGUUAAGGGAAUAGGGACCUUCCUCAAGAUUCCACAGGUAAGUGAGAGUCACUAUCAUCCACCCAAAUGCUCGAACCAUGAACCUAAGAAGCCGUCCUUGACUCAUGCUUUUUUUUUUUUUUUUUUUUUUUUUGAGACGGAGUCUCACUCUGUUGCUUAGGCUGGAGUACAGUGGCGCAAUCUUGGCUCACUGCAACCUCCACCUCCUGGGUUCAAGCAAUUCUCUGCCUCAGCCUCCUGCGUAGCUGGGAUUACAGGUGCCCACCACCACACCAGGCUAAUUUUUGUAUUUUUAGUAAAGAUGGGGUUUCACCAUCUUGGCCGGGCUUGUCUUAAACUCCUGACCUCAGGUGAUCCACCUGCUUUGGCCUCCCAAAGUGCUGGGAUUACAGGCGUGAGCCACUGCACCCGGCCAACUCAUGCAUCUUUUUAUCACUCACAUCCAACCAGUCAAGUCAUGGGUUUUUUUUUUUUUUUUUUUUUUUUAAGUUCUGGGAUUCAUGUGUGGAAUGUGUAGGUUUGUUACUUAGGUUUACGUGUGCCAUUGUGGUUUGCUGCACCUAUCAACCCAUCAUCUAGGGUUUAAGCUCCGCAUGCAUUAGAUAUUUUUCCUAAUGCUCUCCCCUUGCCCCCCAACCCACAACUGGCCCGAUGUGAAUUGUUCCCCUCCCUGUGUCCGUGUGUUCUCUUUUUCUUUUCUUUAGCUCCUAAAUUCCUCACCUCUCUCUAGUGCUUCUAGCACUAAGCUGAUGCAGUCAUCUUUCCGUGGUACCACUGCAACACUUUGUUAACCUUUCUCCUGCUUCCACUUUGCUCUACCACAUUCCAAUCUUUACUCUGUGGCCACAGUGAUCAUUUAAAAUGAAAAUAAUAUCCUCUGAUUAAAAUCCUCCAGUCAUUCUCUAGUUACUCUCAGGACAAAAUUCAAACUCCUUAACAAAAUCUAAAGGCCCUGCGUGAUCCCAGUCCUUUCGUAUUUUCAGUCCCAUCACAUUCUAUUCUUCCCUUUUGGAUUUUUCUAAAUUCUUAUAGCAUACUAUAGUUUUUCCUGUCUCUGUGUAUACAUUACCAUUUCCUCUAAUGGAAACAUGUCCCUUCUCAUCCUGUAGAUUAACAAUGACAACUCCUCCUUAUUCUUCACAUACCUUUCUUCUUCGCAAGCAUCAGAAGUACCAAGUUAGGUCUCAUUGCUGCUUUAUGUCAUUAUAGCACGUGGUGUUUCUAUUCAGUCUUCACUGAUAUAGCAUCUAUUUAUAUUAGGCUGGUGCAAAUGGCACCAAAUGGCAAAAACUGCAAUUACAUUUGCACCAACCUAAUAAUUGUCAUUUCAAUAUAUGACUUUGUCCUACCCCCUCACCAUCCCAAAAUUCUGCUCCCUAGAUGCAAUCACUGUUUUGUGCCUUCCAGACUAUUAUGAAAGAAAAAUGUAUUGACGAGUGUCAGCAUAAUAAUAUAUGACACACAAAAUUAAAAGAUAGAAAUAUAUAUAGGCUUCCCUCUCUUUUGCCUUCUAAUGGACAUGUUAAAUCCCCCCUGCUCAGCACCUGGGCCAAGUAAUGGGUGAAAAGAAUGAAAGCUGGUCUUUCAAAUCCUAUUAGUAUGAAGAGCAAUAUUUUUAAAUGAAAAUAAAAAAACUGGGAAGGAAGGAAAAAGAACAAGAAAGAAAAUAGUCUGUGAAAACUGAGUUUUGAGAGUUUUAUUGAAAUUUUCGAGAAAGUAAUACAAAAUGUUGUAGGGGCAACCUCUAUGCAGUGAUAAAAGGGCUUUGGAAAAAGUGAUAAAUAAAAGAGAUUAUUACAAAGUUUUGUUAUGAGUUAUGCAUAUAUGCAUUUAAGGCAUAUGAAAUUUAUUUCUAUUCUUAUUGGGACAGGAGGAGGCAUGUGGGACUUGUGUUUUAUUUCUGAGCGUAGCACAUGGCUGUCUCAGGUUUGUUUGGGUUACAUAUAAAACUCAAUAUAGGAAUUUGUUCUGCCUAAAUAGGUAUUUAAGAUCCUCUCAAUAGUAAAAGAGGUCAAGAUUAAAAAUCUAAAAAUGAGAAUCCCCAACCUUCAAAACAAUAAAGUAUGUUAUUCUCAAAGCAGUAAAGUAUGUUAUAAUAAAGUUCUCUGGCUUUAUGAAAAUAUAAGGCCAUAUUUUAGGCCUUUCCACAUACCACUUAGAUCUUAUAUACAGGAAUUUCAUUGCUACUGAAAGUUUCACUCAUAAUUUACACAGAACCGUUGAGACUCCAAUUCCAAGAUUAAGAAAUACUGAUCCAGGGCCAAGAGCUCCCUGCUUGGACUUUUCCAUUGCAUUCCUUUGAGCUGCAUCCCACUGAGUACCAAUGAUCAUCACUAUAAUGAUCAUUACCUGAAGACUUAAAAUCACUGUGUCUGACACAAAUCUUAAGCUUCUUGCAUUAUACAAUGUGAUACCUUUCUCCCAGUUAGCAAGAUGCUUAAUUCCAACACUAUUUGUAGUGUCAAGUCUUAGAAGGAAUGCCCUCAUUUGCUAAAUAAUCAAUAAAUGUUUAUUGGAUAAUUGAAUGACUGAAACUAAAGACAAUGCCAUCCAUAUCCAUGUCACUGUUUUCCCAGAGGUAAGAGGUUGACUCACAUGAGACUGAUAUAGGCCUUUUUUGUUUACAGUUCUAUGAUUAUUUCAGGUAUUCAAAAUGUGUAUGUGUGUGUGUAAGAGACAGAGAAAGAAACAGAGACAGAGAGAGACAGAAGGGUGAGUAAAAAUGGUUAUCAGAAUUAUUCUUAGACAAAAAGGGGUCCAUUGGCAAAGAAAAAAAGUUUGAACAGUACUCCCUUUAUUUGUUGACUAGAGAUGGGAAGGUAACCAUUAGCAUGAAAUGAAAAUAGAAUUUAAAGUCGAUAGGAUAUUGUGACAUUUGAUUUGUUAAGGUUUUGGCUGACCACUAUUUGACCUCUUUUCUCAUUAUGUGAAUCCCACAGAUGAGAAUUAUGGGAAUCCCCUUCCCAUGUUAUGUAUUAUAGGAAUCCCACAGGUAAGAAUUGUGCUGGUUUGGGGUGGUAAAUGGGGAUUGAUUUCCACUAGAGUAUUAUAAUAGUCUAGGUUUUCAUUCUCAUUAUCUACUGGGGUACAGGUUUAUGACCUCAGCUAAUAGAAUGUCCAUAGGUGGCAAAUCUGAAACAAGUAACACAAAGGUAAGAGCACUUUAGAUUUCCUCUCAACAGAAUUGUCCAGGGAUUGUGGUGGUGAUGGUGCCAGUAGUUUGUUUAGUAUCCUGAGACAAUGCACCAGCAUCUUCACCAGCUGUUCCAGCGGCAGGGGCUUGGCUAUAAUGACAGCUUCCUGUGGUUUCUCCUUGUUUCACAGCUUGGUUUUUUUUAGCCUUCCAUCAAUUCUUUAAUCUACACAAUGACGUCAUUCCAUUAAACUGUUUUUUGCCAAGGUGAGCCGGAAUCCAGUUCUGUUGCUACAAGUAAGAACCAUGACUUAGACAAGUUAGUAUCGGGGAGCAGGUUGCAGUCAAAGGGACCACAGAAAAAUCCAGGGAGUUGUAUGUAGUUAGAGUUGGAGGCCAAGAAUAUUGUUUAUAUUUAUUACUGAGAAUCUGUCAGUCCAUGACACAUCAUGACAAAGAUUUUCUUUAAAUUAUUGUCUGCGAUCUCCUGGAAUUAAAUAAUGCACUGAAAGCAGAAUUAUCUGCAACCAUAUAUUUGCCAUAUAGAAUAUAAGAAUUUUGGGGUCGGGUAUCUACUUCUAAUGGCCUUACAAAAGGCCAAUGAGAGGCCCAAAUUUCAAAGUUAUCAGCUUAAAGCGCGUGCUGAAACUCACGGGCUUUCUAUGAGUGGACUAAAUAAUCUCUAACUUCCAUUCAGUUCAGAACUUCCUUGGUGUAUUGGUGAAGAAAAAAAUCAAAGGCCAGGAGAUUGCGAUGCUAGAGAGCAUUGAUCAUAUGAAAUUUAUGACUCUCAAGAAGGUCUAGAAACUACUCCUUUCUCCAAGGCCUUGAGAAAUGACAGGAGUUGAUGAGAGGCUUAUCAGCAUAUUUAAAAAUACACUAGUGGCUCCUCUUUGAGGCUGCCAGUGCUGAUAUGGGAUGCAGUUGAAAUGGUCUCCCUGACUCCAAUGUGGCAAUUAAAAUCCUGGGUGACAUAGCGGCACUUAAUCUCAGAGGCAAAGUAGAUUUGUUACUGGCAAGAUAAUCCAAAUGGCCUGACCCACAGAGAUUUGGGUGGUUGCUAAUAUAUCAUAGGCUUGUUAGAGGCAAAAUGAACAGGCAGCUUCCUAGAGCCACCUAUUUUUUCUGGGUUAAAAAAACAUAAAAACAAAACAGAACAAGAAAACAAAAAUAUCCUCUAGGUCUGACCACCCAUUAUAAGAGAAGAUAAUCGUUUUAUUACUGAAUUCUCAAGCCUGGCUCAGUCAGAUAGUCCACAGGCCCUUGAAUGAAGGAAAACCUGGACGGCCCUGAGAAGACCUGAUGAUAAUAUUGUAAGUGAACCCUCCUCCUUGCCUGACAGAAGAGAACCUGGUACUACUAAGAUCACUUUGCUUUGAGGAGUAGACUACUGCUCAGAUCUUUUAGGCCUUAUUGUUGCUUACUAGCUCCGAGCACACUAAUACCUGAAGACUCAAUAUCCGUGGCAAUUUACAUGCUUGGGUGGGGACUUCUGAAAGUCAAAAAUGUAUUUUGAUCUGAGUCUGAUAUGAUAGGCCUAAUGAAAUCCUGAAUCUAUACUGUAUUCAUGAUAGUAACAAAUAUAAUCCUCAAUAUAGCUGAAACACAACAAAAAUAUAUUUUCUGCAUUCAUUAGGCAAUGGUAACAAACAAUAUAAAGUGGUUCAAACAUCAUAGAAAUUUAUUUCACAAUUUUGUAACAAACCAGGCAAUGUUCCUUAUGCUUUAGGAACCAAGCUCCUUUCUUCUUAGGGUUUACUCAUCUCCUAUAAUCUUGUUGUCUGCACCCAGCCUGUGGAAGGGGAAGGCACAAAAGGAAGUAGACCUGUUUUCAAAAUACCUUAAAGUGGCACACAUAAUGGCGGCUCACAUUCUUUUGGCAAAAUCUGAUUACAUGGGAGGGUAGGAAAUAUAAACUAACAUGUUCUCAAGGAGAAACGGGAAAUGUAUUUUGGUAAAAAUGUUGCAAUCUCUGUCACAAUGCUAUGUUUUUUCUCCAGUUGCUGAAUGCGUACUAUGAAUAGAAAUACUAUGGAAUUGGAAGAUCAGGAGUUUUCCUGACAUAUAAGAUCUGUGGCAACCUCAACAAUUUACACCGUAUUAACAAAACGUGGUCAUGCCAAGCUGGUCAUCCUGUGAUGAUGUGUACGUCAGUGUGGGAAGCAUGCAGAUUUUUUAAUCUUUUUUAGAGCUCCUUUUGCCCUGCUGCCAAGGGCUACCCAUGGUCAUGUAGGACCUUCAUGGUGUGGUAUAAUCUUUUGCCAGGCUUUACCCAGCCCAGAAGAAUAGAUUUGAAAGUAGUGCAGAGACUGGCUUUCAGACUCCUAUUAUCAGCCUUAUUGGUUUUCAUGUUUUGCCAAAUACAGCCUAAGCAGUGAGAGAUGUAUUGAGUUCCUCACAACAGAACAUGUUGAAACAUAAGCUACACAUUUAAUUGGAAGAAGGCAAUAUAGACAGGAUUCAGCCUUUACUGCUUUGCUUUUAAGCUCAAAUAAUAGUGGUAUUUGGAAAACAUCACAAAGCUCUGCAGUUAUUUUCCAUAGAUGUUGACUUUUUUUUUUCCUAGAAGUGAUUAUAAUAUUGCCAGUUGAUCCUGAGAUUACGCAUGUGUUGAGGAAAUACUAAUCAGAAGUAUGUCAGUCCUUCUUGCUUCACAAAGCUUCUGUAUCACUAAGGUUUAUACUGGCUUUAUCUCUGACUACUCUCAUUACUUUAAAGUUUCCAUCAAAGUGUGUAGUGUAGUAUCUUGCCAGAUUCUGCCAAGGAGAAUCUUUGAAGUAUUUUGGUCUUCUUAGGAACUUACUGAUCAUUUACUUAGGAGAGUGAUGACAGACUGCUCUGUUAUUCUUCAGUGCUAUCUCACUAACUCUGAAUAAAGUGAACCACUCUGGUGGUUUUCAUGUUAGAUGAUGAUAAUGACAGUUGGUUUGCCCAGGAUGAUAGAGAGCUCUGCAUUCUGGCGGUAAUUUUCAAUCUUCUGUUCUCUGUCAGCCCUAACAACCCACUCACUUUUCAUACAUUUAUUCUUACAUAACAAGCAAAAUACCUGUUAUAGGUCACAGUUCCUUACUACAGACUAUUAUAACUGUUAAUGUAUUAGGAAAAUGACAAAUAGUCAUGAUAUUUGUAAUAGAUAUUGCAGGACAUAGAACUAAGUAAAAGUAGGGCAUAAGGGAAUAAGUAGUCAUCUCUGUCUGCAUGGGCAAAGGAUCAUUUCAUGGAGGAUUGAUUUACAAAGUGAAAAAUUGGCUACAGUUCUCCACAUGAGGAUGAGGGCCAGAAGCUCAGCUAUUACUGAGGCCUGAGCUUUACCAGCUUCCUCUAGAGGCAAACAGAUGGAGGUCUUGGGCACAACAGGUUGGGGUGCCUGAGCCGGGUAAUAAUACUGGCAAGACAGGGUAGAUUGUUUAAGUCUCAAGAAUUAUGCAAGCUAGUUGAUUAACAUAGCCAUUAUUAGAGAUCAUAUUAAACUUAUAAUUAAGCAAAUUAAAAACAAAGGUAAUAAAUAUUCAAAACUUAUAACUUCCCAAUGAUUUUAACUAUACUGUACUCUUUGUAUGCUUGUGAGGUUAUUUCUACUUGACUAGAGUAAUAGAAAUACUAUAUAAUUCUGUACUACUAUGCAUCUUUCCAAUUCCUCCUAUAGUGACAUCAUGUUGAUAGCUUGAAAUUGGCUAUGGAGAGGCCAGGAAAAAUCAUGCCAGGAAAAAAUCAGCAAACUCUACAAAUCAGCUUUUUAUUUGUUGUUUUGUUGAUUGGUUGUCUGGGCCUAAGAAAGUGGUGGAGAAAAUGUUAAUAAUUCAGAUUACACUUAAGUGUGCUGUAUCUAAAGUUUUUAUAUUGUGAGUAGUACAAAAAUUGAAAUAUGCUAUAUGUAUUUGAAAACUGUUGUCUGAUUCAGUUGCCAUUAAUGAGUGAAGUUCUAACAUACGUCACUGUUCAUUUUCAUCAUACCCAUAAAUAUAACUGAAAAUAUUAACAUUCAUGUCAGAAACUACAGUUGCUUAUGAACUAUAUUUUUGUUCCAGAUACAUCAG